rnacentral:rRNA from 1 species
GUGGGGAAUUUUGGACAAUGGGGGCAACCCUGAUCCAGCAAUGCCGCGUGUGUGAAGAAGGCCUUCGGGUUGUAAAGCACUUUUGUCCGGAAAGAAAUGGCCUGGGCUAAUACCCCGGGUCGAUGACGGUACCGGAAGAAUAAGCACCGGCUAACUACGUGCCAGCAGCCGCGGUAAUACGUAGGGUGCGAGCGUUAAUCGGAAUUACUGGGCGUAAAGCGUGCGCAGGCGGUUUUGUAAGACAGGCGUGAAAUCCCCGAGCUUAACUUGGGAAUGGCGCUUGUGACUGCAAGGCUAGAGUAUGUCAGAGGGGGGUAGAAUUCCACGUGUAGCAGUGAAAUGCGUAGAGAUGUGGAGGAAUACCGAUGGCGAAGGCAGCCCCCUGGGACGUCACUGACGCUCAUGCACGAAAGCGUGGGGAGCAAACAGG